CAUGGAGGGUGAGAAUCCCGUUCGGUUGAUCAGAUUCGCUUUACGAUACGUCAUCAAAGAGUCAAGUUGUUUGGGAUUGCAGCUUAAAAUGGGAGGUAAAUUUCUCCUAAGGCUAAAUAACGGCGAGAGACCGAUAGCGAACAAGUACCGUGAGGGAAAGAUGAAAAGAACUUUGAAAAGAGAGUUAAAUAGUACGUGAAAUUGUUGAAAGGGAAACGAUUGAAGCCAGUCGUACCUGCGGGUAAUCAGCCUUUUGGGCGUGAUUCUGUGGAGUGUGAGGAGUUAAACGCCUUCAUGCCUGCAUAUUCGUGUACUUUGGGUGUACUUGCCCGUGUGGUUGGUUAACAUCAAUUUUGAUCUGUCAUAAAAUGGCUGGAGGAAUGUAGCUUCGAUCUCGUAUUGAAGUGUUAUAGCCUUCGGUAGAUGUGAUGAUCGGGAUUGAGGAUUGCAACGGAUACCUUUCGGGGCUACUUGUCUGAUCUCUGAUCGUUGCUCUGGUGCCGAAAGCGUGCUUACGGUUAUCAAAGUCGAUGGUCAAUAGGUUAGAACGAGUUAAAUUCGUUAAGGAUGUUGACGUAAUGG
rnacentral:rRNA from 1 species